UAUUUGCAUAAACAUUUGCCAGGCCUUGUC
rnacentral:piRNA from 1 species